AGCGUACACGGUGGAUGCCCUGGCAGUCAGAGGCGAUGAAGGACGUGCUAAUCUGCGAUAAGCGCCGGUAAGGUGAUAUGAACCGUUAUAACCGGCGAUUUCCGAAUGGGGAAACCCAGUGUGACUCGUCACACUAUCAUUAACUGAAUCCAUAGGUUAAUGAGGCGAACCGGGGGAACUGAAACAUCUAAGUACCCCGAGGAAAAGAAAUCAACCGAGAUUCCCCCAGUAGCGGCGAGCGAACGGGGAGGAGCCCAGAGCCUGAAUCAGCAUGUGUGUUAGUGGAAGCGUCUGGAAAGGCGCGCGAUACAGGGUGACAGCCCCGUACACAAAAGCGCAUGUGCUGUGAGCUCGAUGAGUAGGGCGGGACACGUGGUAUCCUGUCUGAAUAUGGGGGGACCAUCCUCCAAGGCUAAAUACUCCUGACUGACCGAUAGUGAACCAGUACCGUGAGGGAAAGGCGAAAAGAACCCCGGCGAGGGGAGUGAAAAAGAACCUGAAACCGUGUACGUACAAGCAGUGGGAGCACAGGUUUACCUGUGUGACUGCGUACCUUUUGUAUAAUGGGUCAGCGACUUAUAUUCUGUAGCAAGGUUAACCGUAUAGGGGAGCCGCAGGGAAACCGAGUCUUAAUUGGGCGUUAAGUUGCAGGGUAUAGACCCGAAACCCGGUGAUCUAGCCAUGGGCAGGUUGAAGGUUGGGUAACACUAACUGGAGGACCGAACCGACUAAUGUUGAAAAAUUAGCGGAUGACCUGUGGCUGGGGGUGAAAGGCCAAUCAAACCGGGAGAUAGCUGGUUCUCCCCGAAAGCUAUUUAGGUAGCGCCUCGUGAAUUCAUCUCCGGGGGUAGAGCACUGUUUCGGCUAGGGGGCCAUCCCGGCUUACCAACCCGAUGCAAACUGCGAAUACCGGAGAAUGUUAUCACGGGAGACACACGGCGGGUGCUAACGUCCGUCGUGAAGAGGGAAACAACCCAGACCGCCAGCUAAGGUCCCAAAGUCAUGGUUAAGUGGGAAACGAUGUGGGAAGGCCCAGACAGCCAGGAUGUUGGCUUAGAAGCAGCCAUCAUUUAAAGAAAGCGUAAUAGCUCACUGGUCGAGUCGGCCUGCGCGGAAGAUGUAACGGGGCUAAACCAUGCACCGAAGCUGCGGCAGCGACGCUUAUGCGUUGUUGGGUAGGGGAGCGUUCUGUAAGCCUGUGAAGGUGGCCUGUGAGGGUUGCUGGAGGUAUCAGAAGUGCGAAUGCUGACAUAAGUAACGAUAAAGCGGGUGAAAAGCCCGCUCGCCGGAAGACCAAGGGUUCCUGUCCAACGUUAAUCGGGGCAGGGUGAGUCGACCCCUAAGGCGAGGCCGAAAGGCGUAGUCGAUGGGAAACGGGUUAAUAUUCCCGUACUUGGUGUUACUGCGAAGGGGGGACGGAGAAGGCUAUGUUGGCCGGGCGACGGUUGUCCCGGUUUAAGCGUGUAGGUGUGUGUUCCAGGUAAAUCCGGUUCACUUUAACACUGAGGCGUGAUGACGAGGCACUACGGUGCUGAAGCAACAAAUGCCCUGCUUCCAGGAAAAGCCUCUAAGCAUCAGGUAACAUCAAAUCGUACCCCAAACCGACACAGGUGGUCAGGUAGAGAAUACCAAGGCGCUUGAGAGAACUCGGGUGAAGGAACUAGGCAAAAUGGUGCCGUAACUUCGGGAGAAGGCACGCUGACACGUAGGUGAAGUGAUUUACUCACGGAGCUGAAGUCAGUCGAAGAUACCAGCUGGCUGCAACUGUUUAUUAAAAACACAGCACUGUGCAAACACGAAAGUGGACGUAUACGGUGUGACGCCUGCCCGGUGCCGGAAGGUUAAUUGAUGGGGUCAGCGCAAGCGAAGCUCCUGAUCGAAGCCCCGGUAAACGGCGGCCGUAACUAUAACGGUCCUAAGGUAGCGAAAUUCCUUGUCGGGUAAGUUCCGACCUGCACGAAUGGCGUAAUGAUGGCCAGGCUGUCUCCACCCGAGACUCAGUGAAAUUGAACUCGCUGUGAAGAUGCAGUGUACCCGCGGCAAGACGGAAAGACCCCGUGAACCUUUACUAUAGCUUGACACUGAACAUUGAGCCUUGAUGUGUAGGAUAGGUGGGAGGCUUUGAAGUGUGGACGCCAGUCUGCAUGGAGCCGACCUUGAAAUACCACCCUUUAAUGUUUGAUGUUCUAACGUGGACCCGUAAUCCGGGUUGCGGACAGUGUCUGGUGGGUAGUUUGACUGGGGCGGUCUCCUCCUAAAGAGUAACGGAGGAGCACGAAGGUUGGCUAAUCCUGGUCGGACAUCAGGAGGUUAGUGCAAUGGCAUAAGCCAGCUUGACUGCGAGCGUGACGGCGCGAGCAGGUGCGAAAGCAGGUCAUAGUGAUCCGGUGGUUCUGAAUGGAAGGGCCAUCGCUCAACGGAUAAAAGGUACUCCGGGGAUAACAGGCUGAUACCGCCCAAGAGUUCAUAUCGACGGCGGUGUUUGGCACCUCGAUGUCGGCUCAUCACAUCCUGGGGCUGAAGUAGGUCCCAAGGGUAUGGCUGUUCGCCAUUUAAAGUGGUACGCGAGCUGGGUUUAGAACGUCGUGAGACAGUUCGGUCCCUAUCUGCCGUGGGCGCUGGAGAACUGAGGGGGGCUGCUCCUAGUACGAGAGGACCGGAGUGGACGCAUCACUGGUGUUCGGGUUGUCAUGCCAAUGGCACUGCCCGGUAGCUAAAUGCGGAAGAGAUAAGUGCUGAAAGCAUCUAAGCACGAAACUUGCCCCGAGAUGAGUUCU
rnacentral:rRNA from 1 species